UACAGAGGGUGCGAGCGUUAAUCGGAGUGACUGGGCGUAAAGGGCGCGUAGGCGGAUUUUUAAGUCAGGGGUGAAAUCCCAGGGCUCAACCCUGGAACGGCCUUUGAUACUGGGGAUCUGGAGUUCGGGAGAGGUGAGUGGAAUUCCGAGUGUAGAGGUGAAAUUCGUAGAUAUUCGGAGGAACACCAGAAGCGAAGGCGGCUCACUGGCCCGAUACUGACGCUGAGGCGCGAAAGCGUGGGGAGCAAACAGG
rnacentral:rRNA from 1 species